UACGGAGGGGGCGAGCGUUAUUCGGAAUUAUUGGGCGUAAAGGGCGCGUAGGCGGCUUUACAAGUCAAAGGUGAAAUCCCUCGGCUCAACUGAGGAACUGCCUUUGAAACUGUAAGGCUUGAGGCCGGGAGGGGGUAGCGGAAUUCCCAGUGUAGCGGUGAAAUGCGUAGAUAUUCGGAAGAACACCAGUGGCGAAGGCGGCCUUCUGGACGGAUACUGACGCUGAGACGCGAAAGCGUGGGGAGCAAACAGG
rnacentral:rRNA from 1 species